rnacentral:lncRNA from 1 species
GUACAUUAUUUCACGCGGAAAGAUCCCAAUCCCAUGCACGAUUUUACGCACGUGUAUGUACCUUUUAUUAGCUUUUCUUCUUGGAAAGAAAAGAUACUUGUAAUAUUCAUACUUUGUCGAGAAUUUUGUUUAGAUUUAUAUCGAGGACACUUGACCACAGUAUGUUCCAAUGUCUCCACUUUGUUCCAGUUGCACAGUUUGCAAUUUGCAUUGUCGUUAAUAAAAUAUGUAACACCCUCGACGUUUACCUUCCACCCAGUUUUACUCGACGGUCUUACUCGUGCCAGGGUUGUUCCGUAGUUGCAGAUUACUGGAACGCGAAAAUGGCUGUAACUUGGAAAGAAGGUCAGGCAGGACGCGCGUUCUUACGACGCGGAUUCCACGCGUUACGAUACACCUUGUAUAUCUAUCCGAUGCAUAAUGCAGAUAUCAGACGAGUGAUAUUUCAGAAGAGUUUACGGUGCGCGAUUCGUGGCGAUCCCGGCAUUUAUUUCUGUCUCCGAGCUAGUCAACUAAUCGUUACCUGGCGCUAAUAAAAUACUUCCAUCCUGUACGUCGACUCGAUCCUUCGGCUUGUUCGCUUUUGUGUAACAGCCACACACAACGAAUUUCUCGGCUCGAUCUCGGUUAUCUUCGGCAUAGCCGGAUCACCGACCGGGGUAUCGGUGAUCGGAUACUCGCUUAUUUAUACGACUGUAUCGGUAAUUACCUAUGAGGGAAGACCCUGGAGAUAGGGCGGAACUUGAUUUUUCCGGCCGAUGGAAAAACCUGUUCUCGAAACCGAAUAAAUCCUCCGUUUUACGAUAUUUCAACGAUUCUAUGGCCCCUCUGCUAUCGACGCAGAAUCUUUCUUCGCUUACGGUUAAUGCCGAAGCCGCGUGCUCGUUAAAUCGACGAGGAACCUUCUGUUGUCAGGUGUUGGCGGCUGGUUCAAACCAUAAUCGACGAGUAUCAAUUUGGGCUCACCGUCGGCGAUUUUGACGCGAAGUAAAAACAGCGAAACUCUAGACGAGAAAAUGUCGUUUCUUUUCCUCCACUUGCUUUUCCACGUGGAAUCACCAGCCGCCCGCUUGUACCGGGAUUUCGCAGACACGCUGUAUAUUACAGAAAGCCGAAUAGAAUGAAAACAAGCUGUUGUGAAACUGUUUCCUCGGGGUAGUGCACACCUUUCAUAGUCAAAUGUUUAACGAUAUUUAUGUCGACAAAAAAGAUCCAUCGAAAGUUGAUUCUUAACAAGAAGUAUCGCGAGCAUUCUGGCCGCCUCGAAGGUCUGCUUGGGCAACGAUCGCUGUCGGUGCAAGCUGGCGCGAGAUAAAGCGAGAAAGAAAGAAUAAAGCGAGCUUUCGUCGGUGAUUGCAUUCGCUACGGAUUUUCCGGCAGCACGCGAAAGCAGCGUCUUCGUCGUCCUGAAUUAUUCACGGCUCGAUGUUCGUGAAUUAAGAUCACCCACGGCAUUCUGGGAUCGCCGUUCAUGGGAACGGCGACUGGUUUUCGGCAGAAGAUACAGCAACAACGCGGGCAUCCCUUCUGGCUCCGAUGCUUUGUUCCGUUCAGCCCGCCCUGUAAAUCACCCAUCGAAUCAGCGAUUGUACCGUCUCGUUGGGCAAAAUUUAACGCUGUACCUUCUGCUCGUGACGUCGGUUGUUAUCUCAGUGGUUAGCUCAGCGCAUCAGAGUGCACGUUAAGAGUGAAUUUUGGAACGAAUUGUUCAUUUAUCAAAAGACGUCGCUGCUUUUCCUACUCCGUAGCCAGAUGCUUUCAACGAAAUCUCUGCUCUUUGCUGUUUGACGAUGCAACGUCGAGUCGCUGCCUCUCUAUCGACUUAUCCUUGGUCAAACUGUUUCACGCGUCCUGUAAACCGAUAGUCGGCAACCUAUUUGCCAGAAAAUGUUCCUCCGAGGAAGAACGGUCCAGUGAAGCUAAUAACCUUGAAGUUAAAAUUUACCGCUUCGAUUACCACGUGGAUAGUUGAUGAGACGACUCGUUCCCUUUUAUUAAGCGCCACUUGUGCUACAAGUUACUCCUUCGAAGUUCCACUUCUACCAAGAGUAGUUCUAUUCGUAGCACAAUAGCUUAGAGUGG